rnacentral:sRNA from 1 species
GGUUUGAUCCCAGGGCCUGGGCAACGGAGGUGUAGCUGGCAGCAGCGGGCAGGUGAGGACCCCAUCUGCCGGGCAG